GGAUGCAAUGGAGAACAUUUACAGAGGACUGUGGGUAAAGCAAAGUCUUCAAGGGAAGAUAACAAAGGAUGAAACAAUGGUGUUGUGUGACUUCCUAGUGUGAAUCAUGGCAAUACAGUGAAAGACAGUGAUUUACUGCUUUUGAGGGCGUGCAUGUAUAUGAUUAACGGAUGGAAGUGCAGGACUCCAAGAUUUACUUCCUUCCCUUUCCAGCAGAAUUACCUGAGACGAGUAAAAUCUACUGGUGGAGUCACUCCAUUAUUCUUAUCUGUGGAGAUCUAGAUCUUGAUUUGAAAGUUUCUGAGAAAAUCUUCAGCUCAGACUUGAGGGUCAACUUUACCAGCUGAAGGAUCUGCAUUUACUGCUCAACCACAUCUAAUUUGAUGUCCUCUGCAGAUUUAAAAUGUGUGCCUUCUUUUCCGUCACCAAGUCAUCCCUGGGUUACUACUGAACAUCCUUCUCAAUUCCCCCCGACCCAUGGAUGGCUGUUCUCCAUUGUCUGUUUCACCAGAUGUCCUCAAAACAAACAGACAGAAGAAGGAAGUGGCUAAUGGAGCUGUGGAGUCCAAGUGUGACUGCCAAGAGGAAUCCAGCAAAGCCAAAAAGCCCAAGCAUGUAGCCCUGCCCGAAGCACGCCACACGCAUGGAAAACCCAGAGGAAAUGAGUGAGGAUCAAUGGGAAGAAGAGAGCCAGCCAGGUUCGAUGCCUUCUCCAUCCGUCAGUGAGGGUGUGGAGAGCCUGCAGGCGUGUGCCUCCCUCUGUAACUUGCUAUUCCUUGUGUAAUGUCAAGUGGAAGUGUGAAGCACCACAAACUGCUCUGAGCAGAGCCCACUUCCCUUCACCCACGGAGAGCGUGAAGCAGUUACACCAACAUCAAUCAAGGAAAACCCACAGGCUGAGCUCACACGGUUGAAGCAGCUCUGUAUUCUAAGAACCUGGAAACAAUCUUUAUUCACACUGUUAAGACGAUUGAGAAAAAUGGAUGGAUAGAGUUUAUUUGCUAAGAGAAAAACUGAGUGACUACCUAGCUACCUCACUCCUUUUUGCUCUAUUGGAAGUUGAAGAUUUGUCCAGGAGCAGAUAGCUGAAGAGAGAGAGAGAGAAGAGAGAACGGCUUACAGCUCAGGUCCUCUCUCCAUGCUUAGGAACCACUACAAAUGCUACUGCCUUGAGUCUCAUUUUGUUUCCCUCUGGAAACCACAUGUGUACCUUGUUUGCAACAGUAUGGGCUCACAGGCAGAAGGAAUUUUCCUUGUCUUGGAUGAGACUUUUGACUUGGACUUUUGGGUUAAGGAUUUACAGAAAGCGUGGUGCUGGCAUCUGAUCAGCUUCUGGGGUGGCCUCAGGAAGCUUACAAUCAUGGUGGCAUUUGAAGUGGAAGCGAGAGAGAGAAGAGGAGAUGCAACACACUUUUAAACAAGAUUUCAGGAGAACUCAUUCACUAUGUUCUGGAGACCAGAAGGCCAAAAUCAAAAGUAUGGGCAGGCUUGAUUUCUUUAGAAGACUCCAGCGGAGAACUGUGUCUCCUUGCUUCUGAUUCUACAUCUCCAUCCAUGGGCCACUGUUUCAGCAACCUCAGCCAGUGCAACACAACCUCAGCCAAGAAGAGUAUGCAGAGAAAGGAGUCCCCUACCUGCCACAAAACUGUUGUCUGAAAACUGUCUCA
ensembl:lncRNA CASC15 cancer susceptibility 15